GAGGUCGUUGAUCAAGUCGGGCGUCGAGACAAAAAGAAUGUUGUUGCGAUCGAUCUAUUUGUUGCGGACCGCUGCCGCGCGGCCUCG
rnacentral:tRNA from 1 species